GUAUAGCUCAUCGCCUCGAAUGGCUUUCCGGUUUCUAUGAAAACCACCGGCGCAAACAUGCUGUGAACGUGGUCUUGGGUCGGUCGGUGGGCGUUCGAUGUUUGUCCGACGAAAAAUAGGUGAACCAUUGGUCGGUCGGUUCUAGAAUCGCUAGACAGCCACGUGGCCUGACGGCUGGAGGGAAUUCUCAAAAGAAAUUCCUUCCUUCCAUGUCUCUCCAUCGUUCUGGCGAUUUACUCGAUUACGCGGAUGAUGAUCCCUCGAUUGCCCCAAGGAAAACGGAUAGAGACGCGUUUGUGCGUGAAAAAAAUUACAUAUAUACGUGAAAGUAUCUGAUCCAAUGGCAUGGAUGACGUGAAUUGGCGAAAACGGAUAACUUUUCAUCAGGAAGAAAUGUUCUUCUCUUGAUAAACGUGCAGUGUACAAAAUAAUGAUAUUUGAGCGUGAAAAAUACAGAGAAAUUACAAGGGAGAGUAUACGUAACGCCAACGGAAGCCAGAUACGCGGAAUAUUCGCAACUCCGUCGGUUGACGGUUAAAAUAUUCUCGAGCACAGCGAAACGAUCGAGCAUCUCCUCGAAACGAUAAAGAAACGAGCGCGUAACGCUCGUCGAACGAGCUGAUUUUCAAUCCAAGAACGAAUAUCGACGAUAUCAUCGGUACAAUAGGGGAUGAGGCUCUUCUUCAUGGGACAUCCUCAAAGAAAAUAGAAAAAGGAAGGCGAAACGAGAAGCUGAUAUCGCAGGACUUUGGUCUCUGGUACUCUGCCAGGCCCUAUUUCCCGGCGAUCCAGCGAGAGUGGCGGAAGUCCAGUCUGGUAAGCCGGGGCGGGUACAUAGGCUGGUAGGGUGGGAAAUCUAUUCUACGAACGUUUGUCAUGCCUGUUAUUUUACCGGUACCGCUGGCUCCUUUUUCAUCCGUGACCAUACGAUAGUUUCUGGUUACCAACGUUUUUGGAAUCGCACCGGCCAAAAAGAAAUAAGCCGAGUUAAACGAGCUCGCACCAGAAGAAGAAAUAGGAUAACGAGGAACAAAUAGCUGGAUUUGGAUUUUUUUAACGGACAAUGAGUUUCUAGCGAGUGAAAACUUUUUAGCAAAAAAGGAAAACGAUUACGGGCAAAGUGGUUCAUUUGUAAUUGUCUUUCGCCGAAUGCAGCAGUUGGGACUGUAGUCAAAGAACGUUAUUUCGACUACUGUGAUGUGCAAUCUCGCAAUUGAAUAAGAAAAAUAAAUGAUAUUAAACUUUUCUUC